rnacentral:lncRNA from 1 species
CAAAGCCCAGCUCCACUGUCUGGCAAAUGAUUCAAGUCUCUGAGCCUCAGUUUCUGCUUCUGUAAAAUGGGACUUCUGUUUGUAUCCUUUUAAUUAUGGUGAGGGCUAAGCGGGUUUGUAUUUAUAAAGCACUUGAAUUUGUGGCUGCUAGGAAAAUAUUUGUUAAAUAUGUAAAGCACAGGAAACAGAAAUGCUAAGACUUCCAUAGUCCUUCCUUGGGGCAGGCAUUCAAAGUCUUUUAUCUUCUGGAAACGGCCAUUAUAGUGCCCAUCUAAGCAUCAUGUAGAGCUCAUUUGGACAUCAGUAUUGCUCAUCCAGCCAUUCACCAAAUACUUCUGGUCCUUCUGUAACUUUCUAGACAUGACAUCGGUCCCUAGGCACAAUACCACUCAUAGGGCCUGCCCUUGGGGUACCCAGGUGCUGGCUCAACCUAGCUUGAGAGACGAUCAUUACAUUUUCAGGGAUUUGGGGGGAUUGGUGUCUUGAAAUUUGCCACUGUGCUUGUAUUUACCCCACAGUAAUCUGCAAGCAUUACAGAGCAGCCCACCCUUACAGUGGAGCACGGGGCCCACCAUUCUAGAGUAGAGGAGGAGGCAAGCGGUAUGCCAGCAGUGUGGGGAGAGUCCACGCGGAAGAGGUCUGCAGUCCUGGGAGAGCGAGGCACUGAGCAGCGUGACCUUGUCAAGGAGAGCAGGAAGGACUCUGGGCAAGUGACAGAUGAGCUGAAGCCUGAAGGGAGAGGCGUGAUGAACUGGAUGAGGAGGGGCCGGGGUCCUGGAGACGAUUGCCAGACCAAGGCGGGACACAGAGCGAGGAGCAAGAUGCGCCUGAAGGACAACCUUCUCUUGAAAGAAGAAAAUGGUACAAGAAAUAACUGGUCUUCCACUGCAGUAACUGGGUGAAUGAACACAAGUAGCUGAUAAUUCUGCUUGUAUGCUAUGACCCUCUUCAACUUGAAUUACUGCCUGAGCUCCACCUUCUGUCAGAGCAGCAUCAGUAUUAGAUUCUGCUGGGUGUGUAAACCAUACUGUGAACUGCACAGAUCAAGGAUCUGGAUUACGGAAAUCUAGCUCCUUAUGGAAAUCUACUACUGAAGCCACCCCCUCCAUCUCACCCCACCCAUGGAAACACUGUCUUCUGAAAAACUGGCCCCUGGUGCCAAAAAGUUGGGGACUGCUUCUUCAUUCUGUAGAUUAAACAAAAGUCCUAACACUCAAAGAAGUUGGGCAGUUGGUUUAAGAAUCCUACAAUAAAGCUAGAAUUCGAC